rnacentral:rRNA from 1 species
UACGUAGGGUGCGAGCGUUGUCCGGAAUUAUUGGGCGUAAAGAGCUUGUAGGCGGUCUGUCGCGUCUGCUGUGAAAAUCCGGGGCUCAACCCCGGACUUGCAGUGGGUACGGGCAGACUAGAGUGUGGUAGGGGAGACUGGAAUUCCUGGUGUAGCGGUGAAAUGCGCAGAUAUCAGGAGGAACACGGAUGGCGAAGGCAGGUCUCUGGGCCACUACUGACGCUGAGAAGCGAAAGCAUGGGGAGCGAACAGG